rnacentral:lncRNA from 1 species
CAAUAGGUAGAGGUCACCAGCAUAGGUCAGAGGGGAUAUUGUAUGUAACUGGUGACAUUUGAAAGAGACAUAUUGGACAGAAAUGACAUACGUGAAAGCUAAGAUACAAUAUAUUUAAUUUUCUAAGAAUUCAGUUCAAGGUAGUCUGCCUGGUUUCUCAAGUUCUGCAUGUUUCUUCAGUAGACUAAAUAAUGAUAAGGAAGCUGAGAUGUAGAGCUGAAGUGUCUUGCCCAAGAUCAUUUGUCUACUGCAGCUCCUGUUCCACUUCCUUUCUUGUACUGCUGAACAUCCAGAUAGAGGCAUUGACAUGCAUGGUUUCCAACUGAUCACUUCCUACUCCCUUAAGGACCUCCUGUCAGGCAGCAUUGAUGAGAAGACAAAAAAGCUCUCUGGCUGGAGCCACUCUCUAUGUGGAAUUUGCAUGUUCUCCCCAUGCCUGCACUGAUAUUCUCCCACAUCCCAAAGCUGUGCACAGAUUUUGACUGGUUCCCAGAAGAAGAUUCAGCCACCCAUGACCCUGAACUGGAAUAAGCAGUUUUGCUAAUUUCUUUAAUAUCAGAAGACAGCUGGAUUCUCAUUUCUGCUUCUGCAUUCAGUCUAUUGUGAUAUAGCAUAUCAUGUAACUUCUGAAAAACUUCACUGUACACAGAUGCUGACCUCACAGACUCCCUGAAAGGAUCUCCAUGACCUCUAUGGUUCCUUAGACUGCACUUUGAGAACUAUUGACGUACAGGGAAAAAUGCUCUUGGUGUUCCAGUUAAGCACAGAAUAAAAUCUGGACUGUGUCAGUUUGUAAAGAUCUUAUGUCUACUUGGUCAUCAGCCAAGAAGGGAUUCCGAAGAUAGAAGAGGAGGCAUCAACACCGUGAACAUCAUGGCUGAGUUAUUUUGUGAGAGGGAUAAGCCUAAAGUAAAAACCUUGGAUUUGCCUCUGUCCUUGAACAUGCUAUCUGGAAAGAGUUUUCUUAAAAGUAUUGUUGUGAACACAUCCAUUUUCCCAGUAUAGUUGAAUGCAGGGUUUAAUAAAUGGAAUGAAUCUAGUUUUAG